UGCUUCCGUAUGGAAGAGCCAUCUCCACCCUUUUCCCAUUCCGAACAGAGCAGUUAAGUCCAGUAGCGCCGAUGCUAUUUCUAUCGUUCCCUUUUCUUCUUUUACUUCUCUAGAACUAGAAAAGGCGCAUUUUUAUUUA
rnacentral:rRNA from 1 species